UGGAAGCAGAAGAGUGGGACAUGAAGGGGAAGUAUAAAAGGCCAGCCCAGCAGCUCUGCUGGGACAGAGGUGCCUAGAGAGACAGACAUGUCGUCCCUGCUGCUGGAGUGGGAUACUGAGGAGAACCGCAGCUGCCCUGAGAACCCUGCCACUUCCCACACUGAGGAGCUGCUAUAGCUACCCUUGGUGGUAUAUCCCAGGGAAACUAAGAAUGAUCCCUGGACGCAGUCUCUGCUUGGAGUGGUAAAUCUCAGUCAGGGAGAGCCAGUGAGUGACAAGCGGGGACAGCAGCGCUGGAAUUAACAAUGGCAUUGGAAGCAGCAUUCAGCUCAGACCUGACAGUUUUGCACAGACAGGGGCACUCAUUUCAUGCUCAGGCACCCAUUCAAGCUUUUCUUAAUUCACUUGCCUUCCUCAACGUGUGUGUACUUCCAUGAAAAUAGAAGCCCAACAAUCUUGAGGAGAUGGACUGCAGCCAUUCUGGAAGCAUCAUGCAUCCCAACCCUUUAAGUAAUACUGGGUACAUGAUUCUGAAAGUGGAUUUUGUCUCACCUGCCCUGGUAGAUCUUGAGGAUAUAAAACAGCAGCUCCUGAAUGAGUUUAGCUGGACUAUUCCAUGUGGGCAAGAAGAUUCAAAACCAGGGAGAAUUACUACAUAGGGAAGGAGAGCUCGGCAAAGGGGACAAACUUUAGAACUGAGGCCAAGCACAGCACCAGAAUUCCAAACCCAGGAAUAUCAAUAAAAGACCUCAAAUGUAUCUAUAUCUGUACAUAUACAAGAACCUUGGAAAAAUUAUUCACAGAACAAAAAUAAAUCUUCUUUAGAACAAACCCAGGCAAUGAAAUGCAGAGAUGGAGCUCAGAGACUGAACAGUCCAGUGCUACUAGCAUAAAAAUAUGGUUUUGAAAACCAACUUUAUUACAUUUUUAAAGGUGUAAUUUGUUGAACUAAAAAAUAAAUUAUUUAGAGCUAUCAUUGUAAAAUAGUCCUGUGUAGUAACACUCUCAUUAAGGCCCUUGAGAUAGAAAAUCUAUUUUUGUACAGGUAGGAUUCCUGGCAGGAGUGAUUCACAAUGACAUUCUCUCUCUCUCUCAUGGGAGCUAAUUUAAUAUAGGGAAGGAAGUGUCUAAAAGCAUCAACCUAAAUUUAACCAUUUAAAUCUAUCACACACUGUUGGAGAAUAGUGGUUGACCAGAUAAUGUCCUAUUUGGUUAAUGUUAAUCAACAAUAUAAAUAUACAUGUAAUGGUUUAAACAUGAAUUGUUCCCCAAGAGUGAUGUAGACAUUUUUACAGAACACAUAAAUAGGAUUUGUACAUACAUCACAUUGGUCACUCAGCAAAUGAAUAUGGCUAACAUACACCACUGUUAAAUCACUGACCCAUUGGUUAGUUAAAAGCUGGUGGUUUGAAUUAGCAUUAGAGUAUGAAAUUAAUGCAAAAGGUAAAAAAAAAAAAAAAGCCAAAGCAUUUGCAACAA